CUGCUUUCUAGAGAAAGAGGAAGGGAGAAAGAAAGAAACAUCAAUGUGAGAGAGAAAUUUCGAUUGGUUGUCUUCUUGUAAGUGCUCUGACCAGGGAUCAAACCUGAAACCUGAGUAUGUU